GACGAACGCUGGCGGCGUGCUUAACACAUGCAAGUCGAACGGAAAGGCCCUGCUUGCAGGGUACUCGAGUGGCGAACGCGAGAGUAACACGAGGGUGUACUCCCCCGGACCUUGGGAUAAGCCUGGGAGACUGGGACGAAUACCGGAAAGGAGCACUAUUUAGUGUGAUGGUUGGGGAGAUUUUUGGGUGUGGGUUGAGCUGGCGGCCUAUCAGCUUGUUGGUGGGGUAAUGGGCUACCAAGGAGGGGAGGGGUAGGCCGCCUGAGGGGGUGGACGGGCACAAUGGGACUGCGAGACGGCGCAGACUCCUACGGGACGCAACAGUCGGGAAUAUUGCACAAUGGGGCCGAGCCUGAGACAGCGACGCCGGGGUUGGGAUGACCUCCUUCGGGUUGUAAACUCCUUUCGCGAGGGACGAAGCUUUUUGUGACGGUACCGAGAGAAGAAGCACCGGCUAACUACGUG
rnacentral:rRNA from 1 species